GACGAACGCUGGCGGCGUGCUUAACACAUGCAAGUCGAACGGAAAGGCCCUGCUUUUGUGGGCUGCUCGAGUGGCGAACGGGUGAGUAACACGUGAGUAACCUGCCCUUGACUUUGGGAUAACUUCAGGAAACUGGGGCUAAUACCGGAUAGGAGCUCCUGCUGCAUGGUGGGGGCUGGAAAGUUUCGGCGGUUGGGGAUGGACUCGCGGCUUAUCAGCUUGUUGGUGGGGUAGUGGCUUACCAAGGCUUUGACAGGUAGCCGGGCUGGGAGGGUCACCGGCCACACUGGGACGGAGAUACGGCCCGGACUCCUCCGGGAGGCAAGAGUGGAGAGUAUUGCACAAUGGGCGGAAGCCUGAUGCAGCACAGCCGCGUGGGGGAUGACGGGCUUCGGGUUGUAUACCGCUUUCGCCUGUGACGAAACGUGAGUGACGGUAAUGGGUAAAGAAGCACCGGCUAACUACGUG
rnacentral:rRNA from 1 species